UAUCUCUGUAGAGUCUGCAUAUCAAUAAGCGGAGGAAAAGAAACUAACUAGGAUUCCCUUAGUAACGGCGAGUGAAGCGGGAAGAGCUCAAAUUUGAAAUCUUCAAGGUUUUACCUUGACGAAUUGUAGUUUAAAGAAGUGUUUUCUGUUGGUAGUUUUGGUAAAAGUUCUUUGGAAUAGGACAUCAUAGAGGGUGAGAAUCCCGUAUUUGACCAUUACUUCCAGCGUUGUGAUACACUUUCAAAGAGUCGGAUUGUUUGGGAAUGCAGUCCAAAAUGGGUGGUAAACUUCAUCUAAAGCUAAAUAUUGGCGAGAGACCGAUAGCGAACAAGUACCGUGAGGGAAAGAUGAAAAGAACUUUGAAAAGAGAGUUAAACAGUACGUGAAAUUGUCAAAAGGGAAGCGUUUGACACCAGUGUUGUUUUCUCGAAAAUCAAUUAAAAAAAGUUGGAUUUUGUAUUGUUAAGACCUUAUCAGCUUACUGUACUCUUUUCUUGCUUUUUUUAAUGCACUUUUCGUUUAACAAGUCAACAUCAAUUUCUUUUGUUGUAAAAGAGUCAUUGGAAGGUGGCUUUCACUUCGGUGAAAGUGUUUAUAGCCUUUGGCUUCUGCAAUCGGAGAGAUUGAGGUCUGCAGCGUAGAUCCUUCGGGGCUAGAUACGUAGAUGCUAAGUUAUAGUUUUUUAUAGACAACUUGUUGACUAUAAUUAAUCAUGUAGCUUACUCGUUUGCGCUAUUUUACCUACGCUUAGGAUGUUGAUAGUCACAGCGUGUAC
rnacentral:rRNA from 1 species